rnacentral:rRNA from 1 species
GGGUUGUGAGGUUAAGCGACUAAGCGUACACGGUGGAUGCCCUGGCAGUCAGAGGCGAUGAAGGACGUGCUAAUCUGCGAUAAGCGUCGGUAAGGUGAUAUGAACCGUUAUAACCGGCGAUUUCCGAAUGGGGAAACCCAGUGUGAUUCGUCACACUAUCAUUAACUGAAUCCAUAGGUUAAUGAGGCGAACCGGGGGAACUGAAACAUCUAAGUACCCCGAGGAAAAGAAAUCAACCGAGAUUCCCCCAGUAGCGGCGAGCGAACGGGGAGCAGCCCAGAGCCUGAAUCAGUGUGUGUGUUAGUGGAAGCGUCUGGAAAGGCGCGCGAUACAGGGUGACAGCCCCGUACACAAAAAUGCACAUGCUGUGAGCUCGAUGAGUAGGGCGGGACACGUGGUAUCCUGUCUGAAUAUGGGGGGACCAUCCUCCAAGGCUAAAUACUCCUGACUGACCGAUAGUGAACCAGUACCGUGAGGGAAAGGCGAAAAGAACCCCGGCGAGGGGAGUGAAAAAGAACCUGAAACCGUGUACGUACAAGCAGUGGGAGCACGCUUAGGCGUGUGACUGCGUACCUUUUGUAUAAUGGGUCAGCGACUUAUAUUCUGUAGCAAGGUUAACCGAAUAGGGGAGCCGAAGGGAAACCGAGUCUUAACUGGGCGUUAAGUUGCAGGGUAUAGACCCGAAACCCGGUGAUCUAGCCAUGGGCAGGUUGAAGGUUGGGUAACACUAACUGGAGGACCGAACCGACUAAUGUUGAAAAAUUAGCGGAUGACUUGUGGCUGGGGGUGAAAGGCCAAUCAAACCGGGAGAUAGCUGGUUCUCCCCGAAAGCUAUUUAGGUAGCGCCUCGUGAAUUCAUCUCCGGGGGUAGAGCACUGUUUCGGCAAGGGGGUCAUCCCGACUUACCAACCCGAUGCAAACUGCGAAUACCGGAGAAUGUUAUCACGGGAGACACACGGCGGGUGCUAACGUCCGUCGUGAAGAGGGAAACAACCCAGACCGCCAGCUAAGGUCCCAAAGUCAUGGUUAAGUGGGAAACGAUGUGGGAAGGCCCAGACAGCCAGGAUGUUGGCUUAGAAGCAGCCAUCAUUUAAAGAAAGCGUAAUAGCUCACUGGUCGAGUCGGCCUGCGCGGAAGAUGUAACGGGGCUAAACCAUGCACCGAAGCUGCGGCAGCGACACUAUGUGUUGUUGGGUAGGGGAGCGUUCUGUAAGCCUGUGAAGGUGUACUGUGAGGUAUGCUGGAGGUAUCAGAAGUGCGAAUGCUGACAUAAGUAACGAUAAAGCGGGUGAAAAGCCCGCUCGCCGGAAGACCAAGGGUUCCUGUCCAACGUUAAUCGGGGCAGGGUGAGUCGACCCCUAAGGCGAGGCCGAAAGGCGUAGUCGAUGGGAAACAGGUUAAUAUUCCUGUACUUGGUGUUACUGCGAAGGGGGGACGGAGAAGGCUAUGUUGGCCGGGCGACGGUUGUCCCGGUUUAAGCGUGUAGGCUGGUUUUCCAGGCAAAUCCGGAAAAUCAAGGCUGAGGCGUGAUGACGAGGCACUACGGUGCUGAAGCAACAAAUGCCCUGCUUCCAGGAAAAGCCUCUAAGCAUCAGGUAACAUCAAAUCGUACCCCAAACCGACACAGGUGGUCAGGUAGAGAAUACCAAGGCGCUUGAGAGAACUCGGGUGAAGGAACUAGGCAAAAUGGUGCCGUAACUUCGGGAGAAGGCACGCUGAUAUGUAGGUGAAGUCCCUCGCGGAUGGAGCUGAAAUCAGUCGAAGAUACCAGCUGGCUGCAACUGUUUAUUAAAAACACAGCACUGUGCAAACACGAAAGUGGACGUAUACGGUGUGACGCCUGCCCGGUGCCGGAAGGUUAAUUGAUGGGGUCAGCGCAAGCGAAGCUCUUGAUCGAAGCCCCGGUAAACGGCGGCCGUAACUAUAACGGUCCUAAGGUAGCGAAAUUCCUUGUCGGGUAAGUUCCGACCUGCACGAAUGGCGUAAUGAUGGCCAGGCUGUCUCCACCCGAGACUCAGUGAAAUUGAACUCGCUGUGAAGAUGCAGUGUACCCGCGGCAAGACGGAAAGACCCCGUGAACCUUUACUAUAGCUUGACACUGAACAUUGAGCCUUGAUGUGUAGGAUAGGUGGGAGGCUUUGAAGUGUGGACGCCAGUCUGCAUGGAGCCGACCUUGAAAUACCACCCUUUAAUGUUUGAUGUUCUAACGUGGACCCGUAAUCCGGGUUGCGGACAGUGUCUGGUGGGUAGUUUGACUGGGGCGGUCUCCUCCUAAAGAGUAACGGAGGAGCACGAAGGUUGGCUAAUCCUGGUCGGACAUCAGGAGGUUAGUGCAAUGGCAUAAGCCAGCUUGACUGCGAGCGUGACGGCGCGAGCAGGUGCGAAAGCAGGUCAUAGUGAUCCGGUGGUUCUGAAUGGAAGGGCCAUCGCUCAACGGAUAAAAGGUACUCCGGGGAUAACAGGCUGAUACCGCCCAAGAGUUCAUAUCGACGGCGGUGUUUGGCACCUCGAUGUCGGCUCAUCACAUCCUGGGGCUGAAGUAGGUCCCAAGGGUAUGGCUGUUCGCCAUUUAAAGUGGUACGCGAGCUGGGUUUAGAACGUCGUGAGACAGUUCGGUCCCUAUCUGCCGUGGGCGCUGGAGAAUUGAGGGGGGCUGCUCCUAGUACGAGAGGACCGGAGUGGACGCAUCACUGGUGUUCGGGUUGUCAUGCCAAUGGCACUGCCCGGUAGCUAAAUGCGGAAGAGAUAAGUGCUGAAAGCAUCUAAGCACGAAACUUGCCCCGAGAUGAGUUCUCCCUGACUCCUUGAGAGUCCUGAAGGAACGUUGAAGACGACGACGUUGAUAGGCCGGGUGUGUAAGCGCAGCGAUGCGUUGAGCUAACCGGUACUAAUGAACCGUGAGGCUUAACCUUACAACGCCGAAGGUGUUU